rnacentral:rRNA from 1 species
UACGGGGGGAGCAAGCGUUGUUCGGAUUUACUGGGCGUAAAGGGCGCGUAGGCGGCGCAACAAGUCACUUGUGAAAUCUCCGGGCUUAACUCGGAGCGGCCAAGUGAUACUGUCGUGCUAGAGUGCGGAAGGGGCUACUGGAAUUCUCGGUGUAGCGGUGAAAUGCGUAGAUAUCGGGAAGAACACCAACGGCGAAAGCACUCCGCUGGGCCGAAAACUGACACUGACAGACGAGAGCUAGGGGAGCGAAUGGG